CUGCCUGACUGGCCCCUGGAACAGGAGGUUCUAUCUUCCUGACUGGUCCCUGGAACAGGAGGGUCUAUCUUCCUGACUGGUCCCUGGAACAGGAGGUUCUAUCUGCCUGACUGGCCCCUGGAACAGGAGGUUCUAUCUUCCUGACUGGCCCCUGGAACAGGAGGUUCUAUCUUCCUGACUGGCCCCUGGAACCGGAGGGUCUAUCUGCCUGACUGGCCCCUGGAACAGGAGGUUCUAUCUUCCUGACUGGUCCCUGGAACAGGAGGUUCUAUCUUCCUGACUGGUCCCUGGCAUUCCCAAGCAUUUUGCUACACUUACAUUAACACCUGUUAACCAUGUGUAUGUGACCGUACAGUUUGAUCUUCCUGUGGAUCUUCCUGCAGGGGAUGUUAUUAUCAAGGGUCUUAUUCUGGUAACAUGAUGAUCGAUGUUUGGUUGGCGUCUGACAAAUAAAUAUUAUCUUGGUCUUUUGUCCAA
ensembl:lncRNA